rnacentral:rRNA from 1 species
GAUGAACGCUGGCGGCGUGCUUAACACAUGCAAGUCGAACGGAGUUAUUUGAAAGCUUGCUUUUGAAUAACUUAGUGGCGGACGGGUGAGUAACGCGUGGGUGACCUGCCUUAUACUGGGGGGAUAACACUUAGAAAUAGGUGCUAAUACCGCAUAAGCGCACAGUUCUGCAUGGAACAGUGUGAAAAACUCCGGUGGUAUAAGAUGGACCCGCGUCUGAUUAGCUGGUUGGUGAGGUAACGGCUCACCAAGGCGACGAUCAGUAGCCGGCCUGAGAGGGUGAACGGCCACAUUGGGACUGAGACACGGGCCCAAACUCCUACGGGAGGCAGCAGUGGGGAAUAUUGCACAAUGGGGGAAACCCUGAUGCAGCGACGCCGCGUGAGUGAAGAAGUAUUUCGGUAUGUAAAGCUCUAUCAGCAGGGAAGAAAAUGACGGUACCUGACUAAGAAGCCCCGGCUAACUACGUG